rfam:[Clostridium] sordellii strain JGS6382 genome assembly, chromosome: 1
UAAUAAUUUAGAGACGAAGAAGUAUAUUCUGUAUUUGGGCAUCUGGAAUAUAUGGAGUUAGUGAUGCAACCGGCUAUAUUUACA